AUGGCUUGGCGUGAGGACUCCCCCGCGCGGCCCGCACACCCUCCUGGGGCAGGGAUUCCCCCGCGUGGCCCGCACACCCUCCUGGGGCAGGGACUCUCCAGCGCGGCCCGCACACCCUCCUGGGGCAGGGACUCUCCAGCGCGGCCCGCACACCCUCCUGGGGCAGGGACUCUCCAGCGCGGCCCGGGCUGGGCCGGGGCGGAGCGGUCAGGCCUCAGGAACUGGGGCCCGCGUCGCCUCGGCCUUGUCGGACCCCCAGCCCCGGCCCGCCCGCGCCUCGGCCCCGCGGAGGACGCCGCGCCGCUCCGGGCAGGGCGCCGCGCUCAGCCCGCCGCGGGGACUGGAAGGAGUCACCGCGCUCAGCCCGCCGGGGGGACGGGGGGGACUCACCGCGGGCGCACGGCGGGGCUCCGACGGCGGCCGGCGGGCUGCGGGGCGCGCUCCCGUGCGCGGCGCGGGCCAGCCGCCGCCUCCGCGCUCCGCCCUCUGUCCCUGGGGCCAUCGGCCGAGGGGCGGAGCAGGGACCGGCCGGCGUCUGCGCGGGCCCCCACCCCCGCCCGCUGGAGGGACUUCGCCCUGGGCCUGAGGGGACGGUCGCUAGGCGGUCAGCGGCAGGAAGCGGGCGAAGCCUCCCGCGCCCACGUCGGCGGGCCCCAGCCUGGGCCCGGGGGGGGAGGGGCACUGCCGGCUCGCGCUGGACAGAGACCGAAGGCAGCACUUUACCACGCAGGCUGUCAGCGGUCGGAGUCAGAGAAAUGCUGCGAGUUUACCCUGAGGGGGCCUUCCUCACAGGACCUGCUUUCCCUGGGUUGGUUGGAGUUGCGCCCUCUCAGGCAAGAUUGA
rnacentral:lncRNA from 1 species